rnacentral:lncRNA from 10 species
UUUUCUUUUUUUCUUUUUUUUGAGACGGGGUUUUACUCUGUGUCAUCCAGGCUGGAGUGCAGUCGUUCAAUCCCUGCUCACUGCAGCCUUGACCUCCUGGGCUCAAACAAUCCUCCCACCUCAGCCUCCCAAGUUGCUGGGAUUUUAGGCACACACUACCAUGCCCAGCUAAUUUUGUAUUUUUUGUAGAAAUGGGGAUUCGCCAUGUUGUCCAAGCUGGUCGCAAACUCCUAGACUCAAGCAAUCCACCUGCCUCAGCCUCCUAAAGUGCUAGGAUUACAGGUAUUACCCCUGGGGAAAGAAUCUUUUAGGUUACCUUGCAAUGGGAAGGAGAGAGGCCGGUUCAGUUAUCUGACUACACUCAUCCAGCACAACUACAGGAAAUUUAAGAUCAUUCAUGCAUGGGAAUGGGCAGGCUGCACAGGUAACUCCAACUACUCGAACC